UUGGAGGGCAAGYCUGGUGCCAGCAGCCGCGGUAAUUCCAGCUCCAAUAGCGUAUAUUAAAGUUGUUGCAGUUAAAAAGCUCGUAGUUGAAUUUCAGGCCUGGCUGGACGGUCCGCCCUUCGGGUGAGUACUGUCUGUGGUCGGGUCCUACCUUCUGGCGAAGCGUCAUGGCCUUAACCGGCCGUGGCGGGGAACCAGGACUUUUACUGUGAAAAAAUUAGAGUGUUCAAAGCAGGCAAUCGCUUGGAUACAUUAGCAUGGAAUAAUGGAAUAGGACAAUGGUUCUAUUUGUUGGUUUCUAGGACCGUUGUAAUGAUUAAUAGGGAUAGUUGGGGGCAUUAGUAUUCAAUUGUCAGAGGUGAAAUUCUUGGAUUUAUUGAAGACUAACUACUGCGAAAGCAUUUGCCAAGGAUGUUUUCAUUAAUCAAGAACGAAAGUUGGGGGCUCGAAGACGAUCAGAUACCGUCCUAGUCUCAACCAUAAACGAUGCCGACCAGGGAUCAGCGGGUGUUACUAAUAGGACCCCGCUGGCACCUUACGGGAAACCAAAG
rnacentral:rRNA from 1 species